AGAGUUUGAUCCUGGCUCAGAUUGAACGCUGGCGGCAUGCUUUACACAUGCAAGUCGAACGGUAACAGGUCUUCGGAUGCUGACGAGUGGCGAACGGGUGAGUAAUGCAUCGGAACGUGCCCAGUCGUGGGGGAUAACGCAGCGAAAGCUGUGCUAAUACCGCAUACGAUCUAUGGAUGAAAGCGGGGGAUCGCAAGACCUCGCGCGAUUGGAGCGGCCGAUGUCAGAUUAGCUAGUUGGUGGGGUAAAGGCCCACCAAGGCGACGAUCUGUAGCUGGUCUGAGAGGACCACCAGCCACACUGGGACUGAGACACGGCCCAGACUCCUACGGGAGGCAGCAGUGGGGAAUUUUGGACAAUGGG
rnacentral:rRNA from 1 species